rnacentral:rRNA from 1 species
CGUGUAGGCGGUUUGCCGAGUCAGAUGUGAAAGCCCCGGGCUUAACCUGGGAACUGCAUUUGAUACUGGCAGGCUAGAGGUUGGAAGAGGAGAGUGGAAUUCCCAGUGUAGAGGUGAAAUUCGUAGAUAUUGGGAAGAACACCAGUGGCAAAGGCGGCUCUCUGGUCCACACCUGACGCUGAGGCGCGAAAGCGUGGGGAGCAAACA